rnacentral:tRNA from 1 species
GGAGGUGCAGCUCAAUGGUAGAGUGUUUGCAUAGCAUGCAUAAGGCCCUGGGUUUCAUCCCCAGCACCAUAA